rnacentral:misc_RNA from 1 species
GAUGAAGAACGCAGCGAAAUGCGAUAAGUAAUGUGAAUUGCAGAAUCCAGUGAAUCAUCGAAUCUUUGAACGCACAUUGCGCCCGCCAGCAUUCUGGCGGGCAUGCCUGUUCGAGCGUCAUUUCAACCCUCGACCUCCCUUUGGGGAAGUCGGCGUUGGGGACCGGCAGCACACCGCCGGCCCUGAAAUGGAGUGGCGGCCCGUCCGCGGCGACCUCUGCGUAGUAAACCAACUCGCACCGGAACCCCGACGUGGCCACGCUGUAAAACACCCAACUUCUGAACGUUGACCUCGAAUCAGGUAGGACUACCCGCUGAACUUAAGCAUAUCAAUAAGCGGAGGA